rnacentral:rRNA from 1 species
CCCUUAGAUGUUCUGGGCCGCACGCGCGCUACACUGAUGCAUUCAACGAGUCUAUCCUUGACCGACAGGUCCGGGUAAUCUUUGAAUCUGCAUCGUGACGGGGAUAGAUUAUUGCAAUUAUUAAUCUUGAACGAGGAAUUCCUAGUAAACGCAAAUCAUCAAUUUGCAUUGAUUACGUCCCUGCCCUUUGUACACACCGCCCGUCGCACCUACCGAUUGAAUGGUCCGGUGAAGCCUCGGGAUUGUGGCCAGUUCACUUUAUUGGGAGUUGGCUGUGAGAACUUGUCUAAACCUUAUCAUUUAGAGGAAGGUGAAGUCGUAACA